rnacentral:tRNA from 1 species
GUGGCACUAGCUCAGCGGUAGAGUCUUCGCCUAACAUGCGAAAAGACCCGGAUUCAACUCCCGGCUGCGUCU